UGCAAGUCGAACGAUGAAGCCCAGCUUGCUGGGUGGAUUAGUGGCGAACGGGUGAGUAACACGUGAGUAACCUGCCCUUAACUCUGGGAUAAGCCUGGGAAACUGGGUCUAAUACCGGAUAGGAGCGUCCACCGCAUGGUGGGUGUUGGAAAGAUUUAUCGGUUUUGGAUGGACUCGCGGCCUAUCAGCUUGUUGGUGAGGUAAUGGCUCACCAAGGCGACGACGGGUAGCCGGCCUGAGAGGGUGACCGGCCACACUGGGACUGAGACACGGCCCAGACUCCUACGGGAGGCAGCAGUGGGGAAUAUUGCACAAUGGGCGCAAGCCUGAUGCAGCGACGCCGCGUGAGGGAUGACGGCCUUCGGGUUGUAAACCUCUUUCAGUAGGGAAGAAGCGAAAGUGACGGUACCUGCAGAAGAAGCACCGGCUAACUACGUGCCAGCAGCCGCGGUAAUACGUAGGGUGCGAGCGUUAUCCGGAAUUAUUGGGCGUAAAGAGCUCGUAGGCGGUUUGUCGCGUCUGUCGUGAAAGUCCGGGGCUUAACCCCGGAUCUGCGGUGGGUACGGGCAGACUAGAGUGCAGUAGGGGAGACUGGAAUUCCUGGUGUAGCGGUGGAAUGCGCAGAUAUCAGGAGGAACACCGAUGGCGAAGGCAGGUCUCUGGGCUGUAACUGACGCUGAGGAGCGAAAGCAUGGGGAGCGAACAGGAUUAGAUACCCUGGUAGUCCAUGCCGUAAACGUUGGGCACUAGGUGUGGGGACCAUUCCACGGUUUCCGCGCCGCAGCUAACGCAUUAAGUGCCCCGCCUGGGGAGUACGGCCGCAAGGCUAAAACUCAAAGGAAUUGACGGGGGCCCGCACAAGCGGCGGAGCAUGCGGAUUAAUUCGAUGCAACGCGAAGAACCUUACCAAGGCUUGACAUGUUCUCGAUCGCCGUAGAGAUACGGUUUCCCCUUUGGGGCGGGUUCACAGGUGGUGCAUGGGUUGUCGUCAGCUCGUGUCGUGAGAUGUUGGGUUAAGUCCCCGCAACGAGCGCAACCCUCCGUUCCAUGUUGCCAGCACGUAAUGGUGGGGGACUCAUGGGAGACUGCCGGGGUCAACUC
rnacentral:rRNA from 2 species